rnacentral:tRNA from 1 species
GAGGGUCUAACUCAGUGGUAGAGUGCAUGCUUAGCAAGCAUGAGGUCCUGGGUUCAAUCCUCAGUACCUCCA